rnacentral:rRNA from 1 species
GAUGAACGCUGGCGGCGUGCUUAACACAUGCAAGUCGAACGAAGCAAUUUAACGGAAGUUUUCGGAUGGAAGUUAAAUUGACUGAGUGGCGGACGGGUGAGUAACGCGUGGGUAACCUGCCUCAUACAGGGGGAUAACAGUUAGAAAUGACUGCUAAUACCGCAUAAGCGCACAGGAGCGCAUGGUCUGGUGUGAAAAACUCCGGUGGUAUGAGAAGGACCCGCGUCUUAUUAGCUAGUUGGUGGAGUAACGGCCUACCAACGCGACGAUCAGUAGCCGGCCUGGGAGGGUGGCCGGCCAGAGUGGGACUGAGACACGACCCAAACGCAUACGGGAGGCAGUAGUGGGGAAUAUUGGACAAUGGGAGGAAGCCUGAUGCAGCGACGCGGCGUGAGCGAAGAAGUAUUCCGGUAUGUAAAGCUCUAUCAGCAGGGAAGAAGAAUGACGGUACCUGACUAAGAACCACCGGCUAAAUGCGUGCCAGCAGCCGCAGUAACAC